rnacentral:rRNA from 1 species
CCUACGGGAGGCAGCAGUGGGGAAUUUUCCGCAAUGGGCGAAAGCCUGACGGAGCAACGCCGCGUGAGGGAUGAAGGCCUCUGGGCUGUAAACCUCUUUUAUCAAGGAAGAAGAUCUGACGGUACUUGAUGAAUAAGCCACGGCUAAUUCCGUGCCAGCAGCCGCGGUAAUACGGGAGUGGCAAGCGUUAUCCGGAAUUAUUGGGCGUAAAGCGUCCGCAGGCGGUCUUGUAAGUCUGUCGUUAAAGCGUGGAGCUCAACUCCAUUUCGGCGGUGGAAACUACAAGACUAGAGUGUGGUAGGGGCAGAGGGAAUUCCCGGUGUAGCGGUGAAAUGCGUAGAUAUCGGGAAGAACACCAGUGGCGAAGGCGCUCUGCUGGGCCAUAACUGACGCUCAUGGACGAAAGCUAGGGGAGCGAAAGGGAUUAGAUACCCCUGUAGUCCUAGCCGUAAACGAUGAACACUAGGUGUCGGGGGAAUCGACCCCCUCGGUGUCGUAGCUAACGCGUUAAGUGUUCCGCCUGGGGAGUACGCACGCAAGUGUGAAACUCAAUGAAUUGACGGNNGAGACGCGACGACGACGACGACGAGGAGAG